rnacentral:rRNA from 1 species
GUGGGGAAUAUUGGGCAAUGGGCGCAAGCCUGACCCAGCAAUGCCGCGUGAAGGAAGAAGGCUUUCGGGUUGUAAACUUCUUUUGUCAGGGAAGAGUAGAAGACGGUACCUGACGAAUAAGCUCCGGCUAACUACGUGCCAGCAGCCGCGGUAAUACGUAGGGAGCAAGCGUUGUCCGGAUUUACUGGGUGUAAAGGGCGUGCAGCCGGGAGGACAAGUCAGAUGUGAAAUCUAUGGGCUCAACCCAUAAAUUGCAUUUGAAACUGUUUUUCUUGAGUGCUGGAGAGGCAGACGGAAUUCCUAGUGUAGCGGUGAAAUGCGUAGAUAUUAGGAGGAACACCAGUGGCGAAGGCGGUCUGCUGGACAGUAACUGACGGUGAGGCGCGAAAGCGUGGGGAGCAAACAGGAUUAGAAACCCCUGUAGUCC